rnacentral:rRNA from 1 species
AGCGAACGCUGGCGGCGUGCUUAACACAUGCAAGUCGAACGCGCAGUUUUGUGUAGCAAUACACGAGGCGGGCGCGUGGCGAACGGGUGCGUAACACGUGGGCAACCUUCCUUCCGGUGGGGGAUACCCCCCGCGAAAGCGGGACUAAUACCGCAUAACAUUCCUUUGGUUACGACUGAGGGAAUCAAAGCCGCAAGGCGCAGGAAGAGGGGCCCGCGGCCGAUUAGCUUGUUGGCGAGGUAACGGCUCACCAAGGCAUUGAUCGGUAGC